rnacentral:rRNA from 1 species
CCUACGGGAGGCAGCAGUAAGGAAUAUUGGACAAUGGAGGCAACUCUGAUCCAGCCAUGCCGCGUGCAGGAAGAAGGCGCUACGCGUUGUAAACUGCUUUUGUACCAGAGAAAAUCAUUGUACGUGUACGAUGUUGAUAGUAUGGUAAGAAUAAGCAUCGGCUAACUUCGUGCCAGCAGCCGCGGUAAUACGAAGGAUGCAAGCGUUAUCCGGAUUUAUUGGGUUUAAAGGGAGCGUAGGCGGUCUUAUAAGUCAGUGAUGAAAUCUCGUUGCUUAACAACGAACGUGCCAUUGAUACUGUAGGACUUGAGUACAGUUGCCGUUGGCGGAAUGUGUCAUGUAGCGGUGAAAUGCAUAGAUAUGACACAGAACACCGAUUGCGAAGGCAGCUGACGAAACUGUAACUGACGCUGAGGCUCGAAAGCGUGGGGAUCAGACAGGAUUAGAUACCCUGGUAGUCCACGCCCUAAACUAUGAUUACUCGCUGUCGGCGAUAUACAGUCGGUAGCUAAGCGAAAGCGUUAAGUAAUCCACCUGGGAGUACGCCCGCAGGUGAAACGUCAAAGGAAUUGACGG